AUGGAUACUGUACAUUCUUUGAAUGACAGGUUUAUGCACCAUCUAGAGACCAAUCCGGAGUAUGAUAGUCUGCAGGGCCUAUUUGCUUGGAUGCAUUCCUACUUCCGUGAUUGCCCUGAUUCACUCAAGCUAUGUAUUUUUUACCUAUCAAUUUUUCCUCGAGACUGCAAUAUUCGAAGAAGGCGACUAGUAAGGAGGUGGAUCGCAGAGGGUUACUCCAGAGACAGCGAUAAAAAAUCUUCUGAGGAGGAAGGAGAGAUGUUUUUCUCCAUGCUCCUCGAGCUGAGCAUUAUCCAGCAGAUUCCGCAGUUAGGCAACACAGCAGUCAAUGAGACAAGGAUGGCAAGAUGCCAGGUGAAUGGCUUCAUGCGCGAGUAUAUCCUCUCGCGGAGAAUGGAAGAGAACCUUGUCUUUGAACUCGGGCCCAAUUGUGUCCUAACAACCCAGCGAACAGGGCGCCACCUUAUUAUAUUGAGAGACUGGGCCAGAGACAAAAUUGUGUUUGAGAGCAUUGACUUCUCGCGGCUACGAUCAAUGACAGUGUUUGGAAACUGGGAAUCAUUCUUCAUCUCUAAAAGUAUGAGGUUGAUUCGGGUGCUUGAUUUGGAGGAUGCAUCAGGUUUAAAGGAUGAUGAUCUCGAGAAGAUGGUGAAGCGGCUACGCCGCCUUAAAUUUCUCUCUUUACGAGGAUGCAGUGAGAUCUACCAUCUGCCUUGUUCACUGGGUGAUCUCAGGCAGCUCCAGAGUCUGGAUGUGAGAUGCACCUCUAUAGUCACCUUGCCAGUGAACAUCGCCAAGUUACAGAAGCUACAGUACAUCCGUGCCGGUACCACGGGCCCAGCAUCAACGCCACCUGCUUCUUCUAGUUGUUUGCCAGAGUUCCGCAAACGCCGUGGCCUAAUUGGUGUUGAGGUUCCAAGGGGGAUUGGAAAACUAACGGCACUACACACACUUGGUGUUGUCAAUGUCAGUGCUUCAGGGGGAAGGGCCAUUGUGGAAGAGCUCAAGAAGCUUACCCAAUUGCGUAAGCUCGGAGUGUCUGGAAUCAACAUGCAGAACAGCAAGGAGUUCUCCACUGCAAUUUCAGGUCAUGUGCACUUGGAGUCCUUGUUAGUGCGGCUCGACAAGGACAAUCAGCGUUCCUUAGAUGAGAUCUCCCUGCCUUGGGAGAACCUACAGAGUCUUAAACUGUUUGGGCUUGAAGACAAGUUGCCUCUAUCAAUAAGCAAACUUGACAAGAUAAGGAAGUUGGAUCUAGAGAUGGCCACUUUAGUGCAAAGUGACAUUCAGAUCCUCGCCAAGCUACCGGAACUAUGUAUUCUGCGCCUUCAAGUCCAACAAGUUCCAGAUGGUAUGCUCCAUUUUUAUGCAGAGAUGUAUGGAGAGCAGUUGGCCACCUUCAAAAAAGUGAAGAUCCUGGAGAUUGCUUGCAGCUCCACCGAGUUGCAUGUAACCUUCGGAUCAAAAUCGAUGAAGAAGCUUGAGGUGCUCAAGAUUGACUACUCCAGUGCAUCAUAUGAGCUUACCGGCCUGACUAAUCUAUCUGAACUCAAGGAAGUCUUGCUCAAGGGUACCAAUGAUGAGGCGUUCAGGGCACAAUUUGCGAACACCCUUGCCGAUCACCCAAAGAGCCCUGCCGUCAAGCUGGAGGGACUACCAUCAUCGUCUUGA
rnacentral:rRNA from 1 species